CUUUCUCUCUUCGCCUGCUGCCGUCCAUGUAAGAUGGGACUUGCUCCUCCUUGCCUUCCACCAUGAUUGUGAGGCUUCCUCAGCCACGUGGAACUAUGCCCUGACCUUCCGGGAAACCCUCGGUGAGAGGCCCACAGCCUCGCUUCUAGGGUCACCACUGCUUCUUCCAGUCUAGCCAAACAGCUCCUAGUACAGCUCAGAGCACCCUGCAAGGAGGGCACGUGUUAAAUCGAGGAGCACACAUGCUCCACGAGGAAUUCUUUGCUUUGAGGCCAUGCACAGAGGUGGGUUCACUAUGAAGCUUGUGAAAUAAGCUUCAGGGCCCGCAUUUGCAUGGGCCACAGAGAGUCUGGGAGCUGCAGAAGGUUCAAGGGAAGAGGAGCCAUCACAAGCAGAAUAUUCUAGAAGGCAUUUCUGGCAAAUGGCCCAAAGAGGCCUCAGGAGAAAAGAACUUGAGUCUUCAAGGAUGCAAUGAGAAGGCACCAUCUGUGAGGAACAGGCCUCCGACAGACACCGAAUUUGCUGGCACUUUGAUCUUGGACUUCCCAGCCUCCAAAAUUAUCCAUAAUGGAUUCCUGGGACAUUUUCAGAUCUCCUUCCAGCUUCCUCUUCGCCCUUUCCAAGUCCGCCCGCAGUUUCUUCUCCUGCUCUAAGGAACCCUCAAGCUGAGAAGACACACAGAUGGAGUCUCGCUGCGAUGCCCAGGCUGGAGUGCAAUGGUGCAAUCUUGGCUCACUGCAACCUUCGUUUCCCAGGUUUAAGCAAUUCUCCUGCCUCAGCCUCCCAAGUAUCUGGGACUACAGGCGAGCGUCACCAUGCCUGGCUAAUUUUUGUAUUUUUAGUAGAGAUGUUUAGUAGAGAGUUUCACCAUAUUGGCCAGGCUGGUCUUGAACUCCUGACCUCAAGGGAUCCGCCCACCUUGGCCUCUCAAAGUGCUGGGAUUACAGGCGUGAGCCACCGUGCCUGGCAAUGUUUGUAGUUUCUUUCAUGAAUUUACCUCCUUUUAUUCUUUAAUCCCUGCUUAUCUCUAAAGAGUAAGUAACUGAAAGUAAUAAAACGGAAUUUUCUCAACAAUAUUUUAUAAGUUGAUUUCUUUUUCUUUCCUACAGGAAACAACCCAAUUUGCCAUCUUAAUUUGGAGUCUACUUUUUCUGAAUGACUCAGUUUUCUCUGAUACUUAAUCAAGAUGCAGCCUUGGGGGAAAAUGUCAUGUCCCAGUCUCCCCCAUGUUCCUUUCCCUUCAUCCCACUUUGUCCCCGGGGUCUAGCAUGACUGUGUGUUUGGAUUGGGGAAGUGAAGGCAGGAAAGUCGCUUCCCCAAAUCCGCAUCCACACAGGGUCUUAUGUUAGAGUUGAUGUUAUCUCUAGGCGAGGUUAUGCAAUGUAGUUACAGAGACAUUGUGAUUAGAUUCAAAGAAAAUGAUUUUCAUCAUUGAAGUUUACGCAUGUGCCCAUUUCCUAUUUAUUACAUUCCCUGGCCCAGAGGACAUUAGGCUUUCAUUUUUAAAAAAUGAUCUCAUUAUCUAAUGAAUAAUUAUAUUUCAUAUAUUUUAUUAAUUUAUUAAAUGUAUGCAUUUAAAAUGGCAUAUAAUGUUAAAACUCUAUGUUGGCUACUAUUUAAAAGUAUAUUUACUGGUAAUCUUAAAAAGUGUUACUGGCUUGUGUUACUUAUUUAUUUGUUUGAGAUAGGGUCUCACUCUGUCAUCCGGGCUGGAGUACAGUGGCCCAAUCAUGGCUCGCUGCAAUUUCAGCCACCCAAUCUCAUGUGAUCCUCCCAGCUCAGGUUCCCAAGUAGCUGGACUACAGGUGUGCACCACCACUUUUGGCUAAUUAUUUUAUUUUAUCUUAUUUUAUUUUGUUUUAGAGACAGGAUCUCUAUGUUGCCCACACUGGUCUUGAACUCCUGGCCUCAAAUGAUCCUUCUGCCUCAGCGUCCCAAAGUGUUGGGAUUACAGGUGUAAGCCACCACGCCUGGCCCCUGUGUAACCACUCUGGAAAAGAGUUCAGAAGUUACUCAAAAUUUUGAACACAGUUAUCAUAUGACCCAGCAACUCUACUCCUAGAGCCCAGUCUCUUACAGAAGAGGAAGAAUAAGAGCAGGAGGAAGAAAAAUGGAGCUGAAAGAGAAACAUCAUACUCAGCUGAAGCUCAUGUCUGAUUACUGGUUCUUCACAAGCAGCUCUGGGUUAGGAGUCAUUACAUAGAACGUCCCACAGAGGGAAAGAAAUGAUAGAAUUUUACCUGUCUCUGCACCAGCAUAGUUGGAAAAAAGGAAGGAGAGAAGCUUCAGCGAAGACUUCUGGUACAGCCCCACCACAGUCUCGUUCAGGGGGUCCUUGUUUUUGUCCAGCCAGCCGGCGAUGUUGUAGUCCACGGUGCCGGCAUAGUGCACCAGCGAGAAGUGAGCCUCAGCCUUGCCUUUGGCAGGCUUGGGCUUCUGGAAGUUGUUGGAUUUUCCAAGAUGCUGGUCAUACAGCUUGUUCUUGAAGGAGGUGUCUGUUGCCUUGGGGAACAUGCACUCCUCUUCCAGGAUGGAGAAGAUGCCCAUAGGCUGGAAAGAGGAUAACAGAGUCUACAUAUAAUAGUGCAUACCCAUGCUUCAUGGUCUGGAGAAGCCAAAAAACCUUCUUUGGUGCUUUCACUCUGGUACCAGGAAUGCUGGCAUGUACGCUCGGUGAGAGCAAGACUCUUGGUCUGUUUGGGGGAUGACCAGAAAGUGCUAGGCAUAGAGUAUGUGCUUAAUUAAUAUUUGCUGAACAAAAGAAUAUAGGAUAAAAUUAUGUGUGUAUAAACCUAGCAUACUUUUUUCAAUAGGUGUACAAAAAAGUAAAGUUUCAUAUAUAGCCAUAAAGUAAUGUGAGUAAUAUUUUGAACAAUAAUGUCCCAAUUUCUCAGUAGCCACCUUAGGAAGAUAUACUCAUUCCAACAUGAGCAGUGCUCAAAUAUUAUGGGAAUUCCUUUUUAAAAAGUUAAUGUCGGCCGGGCGUGGUGGUUCACGUCUGUAAUCCCAGUACUUUGGGAGGCUGAGGUGGGUGGAUCACAAGGUCAGGAGUUUGAGACCAGCCUGGCCAACAUGGUGAAACCCCGUCUCUACAAAAAAAAGAAAAAAAAAAUUAUCUGGGCGUGGUGGCGGGCACCUGUAGUCCCAACUAUUCAGGAGGUGGAGGCAGGAGGAUCGCUUGAACCUGGGAGGUGGAGGUUGCAGUGAUCCGAGACUGCACCACUGCACUCCAGCCUGGGUGACAGAGCAAGACUCCGUCUCAAAAAAAAAAAAAAAAAAAAAAGUUAAUAUCUAUUCCUGUUUUCAUAUUAACAUCCCUCCAAGAGCCACACUGCUCCAUGGUUCCGCCUCCUUGGGUCUUUGGGUAAGUCAAAUAGGUAAGAAAUGCCACAGUCCUUACUGGGGUUCCAUCACAUUCUUGGAGAUAACUGAGCCCUUGGAUUUUAAUGACCCGUAAACCUCUUUAAGUGUCAGAACAGAUUUAGGACAUUCAUUCUCUUUGCAAAUAGGCAUUCAGUUAUCUAUCUGAAGGCUUGCAGCCUGGGGGCUAGGGGCCCCAAUCUGUGAGCAGAAAAGAAUCAGAGCAAGAAGGGGAGGGCCCCCAAUAAGGAGGAGCUGUCCCAGGCAGCAGUAUCUCUCUACCUUCUCGAUGAGCUCGAUGCAGGCAGCCAGGUCCAUUCCGAAGUCAAUGAACUCCCACUCGAUGCCUUCCUUCUUGUACUCUUCCUGCUCCAGCACGAACAUGUGGUGGUUGAAAAACUGUUGCAGUUUCUCAUUGGUGAAGUUGAUGCACAGCUGCUCCAGGCUGUUGAACUGGGUGAUUCAAAUACCAAAGAAUUUGAGUGAGCUUGGAAAAUACAUUGGAGAUUCAGCAAAGCAGACAAGAAAGUAGAAGGUCACAACUCACAUCAAAGAUCUCAAAGCCAGCAAUGUCCAAGACCCCGAUGAAGUACUGCCUGGGCUGCUUGGUGUCCAGCUGCUGGUUGAUGCGGGUGACCAUCCACAGGAACAUCUUCUCGUAGACGGCUUUGGCCAGAGCACCCACCGAAUUGGUCACCUUGAAAAAGGAUCACCCACUCAACCCUUGAGUUAGUGUUUCUAUGGCUGCAUUAAGUUGAAACAUAUGAAAUUGACUCGAAAAUCAAAAGCUGUUGGCUAGGCGUGGUGGCUCACACCUGUAAUCCCAGCACUUUGGGAGGCCAAGGCGGGCGGAUCACGAGGUCAGGAGUUCAAGACCAUCCUGGCCAACAUGGUGAAACCCCGUCUCUACUAAAAAUACAAAAAUUAGCCAGGUGUGGUGGCAGGCGCCUGUAGUCCCAGCUAUUCGGGAGGCUGAGGCAGGAGAAUCACUUGAACUUGGGAGGUGGAGGUUGCAGUGAGCCAAGAUCGUGCCACUGCACUCCAGCCUGGUGACAUAGCGAGACUCUGUCUCAAAAAAAAAAAAAAAAAAAAAACAAAAGAAAAAAAGAAAAUCAAAAGCAGUUGAAUAUUGGCAAUUUCAGAUCAUUCAAUGCAAUAUUAAAUAUUUUAUGAGGUGUUUGCCCAGCUCAUGUUGUUCACCUUUCUUUGAGAACUAUCCUAUUCACAAAGAUAUUUUUCUAACAACAUGGUUAUAGCACAUGACUCCAGCCCCUGGCCACACUUAAUUAGACCAGAGGUGAACACUUGAUCCAGAUUGGAUUAAUUGAGUAUCUCUCCUAAGAAUUUGGAAUAGGGAUCAAAAGACACUGGUCUCAGUCUCAGGGUGAGGCUGGAAACACAGAGAUAUAAACUUGGGAGCUAUGGGGUGGCCACGGGCAAGAGAGGUCCAGGAAACUUAUCUGCCUAGCAAGGACACAACAGAGGAGAGACUCAACAGCCCAUGAAUCCCAGAGGAGCUGGAGGGAGGCUGCCUGGCUCCAGAGGGCUCUUCACUUUCUAAUUCCAGGUCCUCAUGGCGUCCAAUGGGCACUUAAUGAUUUGCAUUCCUUCAGUUGCCUCUGAAGCCUAAAAAUGAACUUCCUCUUAAUGUGAAAGCUGAUUUCAUGUGCAUUUCUGAUACCUGCAACUGAAGGAGCUUUAAGAUAAUGGCUCAAAUAGCAAAAGAUCUCAAUCAACUGGAUUCAGAGCAUCUCCAUUACCUGCUGGACAUUUUGCCCUUUAGUGACAUAUUCAUUGCCAACCUUCACCCUUGGACAGCACAGGCCCUUCAGCAUUUCUGCAGAAUUCAGUCCCAUCAGGUAUCCGGCUUUGUCAGCCACUGAAGGAAGAGAAAAAAAUGGCAUCAUGCAAAAACAGUAGCUGCUAAAGUGUCCAGUCAGCCCCUGGCUUCUCCCAGAAGUGUUUUCUGUAAUUUUCUUAAAUGUUUUCAUGUUGUCA
rnacentral:lncRNA from 1 species